AUGCCCUCACGACACAGCAGGAGGGAUGAUAUCAGCAUAUUGCAGAUCAGCCGAAUAUGCACUGUCAUCAACUUUAACGUAGGCUUCAAAAAGGUUUUGAAGUUCUGUGGCAUCCCUGGCCAUGCUCACAGCUUGCAGCAAUCACAGCCAAGUGGCAUAACAUGCUCCCACCGCGCUCUCUAGGUCCAAGGAGGCCACAAGGACAUGUGCUCGCCCUGAUCCCACACCAAAGCUCAGCGCAGGAAAAGCUGCUCGGGCUUGAUCUGAGCCUGCAGUUCAAGGGAGGAUGACAGAUACCUCCAGGGCCUGACCCCGCACCCACCAUGGGCUGUAUUUACAAUGAUUUUGGGUCUCAGGCUGUAUUUACAAUGAUUUUUACAGUCUCGGGCUGUAUUUACAGUGAUUUCGUUAGGCUGUCCAUCAGAGCCUUUGGUAUUAGCAUACAGUACGCUCAGAUCUAGGAGCCAUUUCCAAACCAGAAGCAGUUCGUCUAUUUAAAACCUGUUGGUUUGUGAACUUAUCUCUAAACACUUCCACAGGAGAACAGUGAAGUGUCAAAAGCCCGUGCCUUGAGUGACUGGCACACAGAGCAUCCUGCAAAGGGAAAGCACCACAUUUGUUCUCCUACUGUGAAAAGAAAAGGUUGCCACUUUUCCUGUAAAAAAUUAUAAGGCCAUUAUUUAAACAGCAGCAACAUAGGAUCUACACUUUUUUUUUUUUUUUUUAAUCGGAAGAUUUUAUCGAUGACAGAAAAAGCCUCUUGGAAGGAGGGUAUGUGCACGAGUAAGAGCAGAGGGGAUUUUUAGUGUGGUAGAGCUGUGAGGAAGCCCCAGAGCCAGAGCCUCUGGGUGCAGCACAUCAGCGACAGCCCUGUCUGGUAGCGACAGGCUAGGUAUUAAAAGCAGAGUUGGUGGAGAAUGCAGCUAAGACAUAGAGCCAUAUGCAGGUAAUGAUUGAUCUCCACUGACCGAGAUCCAAAAAUACCAUCAUCUUUACACAUCACAGAUAUUUUUAUUGACAUGGUUAAAAAUGCCAGUACCCAAAGAGCAUUGGGUAAUGCCUUCUAGAAAAGCACCUAGGAAGAAGUCGGUGAGUCAGAAGGUCAGAUUUUUGUUUUUACAGUGAUGUUAAAGACCAGGUUCAUUUAUAAGAGAGAGAAGUCUACACCUCCGAAAUCUUGUCU
rnacentral:lncRNA from 1 species